AAGCCUUAUGUAGCUUGGUGUGAGGUCAACUUUGAACCUUUUUUCCUAGACUUUUAGAGCCUGAAGUUGUGAGUCAACGAAAGACCUUCAAUCUUGGAGGUACAAAUCUUUUGUCAUGAGCAUUUGAAGAACUAAAUAUCAUAGUGUACUUGCACACCCAGAUGUAAAAGAGGGCUUC
rnacentral:pre_miRNA from 1 species